rnacentral:lncRNA from 1 species
GAAACUACUUUCACUUUUGAGAAGCGAAGGACCUCUCAUUUCUCCGAAGAAAAACUUAACUGGAUCAGAAGCUGUUUGCAGUCCCCUGUACAUACUUGGCAUGUUUGUGAAUUUACUUCAAUAAAACUAAAGAUGAUUGCUUCUAAAUGAACCACGUCUGGUUUUGGAAGUUGAACGUGUACAUCUGGUGUUAAAAACAGUAAUUCACUGUUGUCAACAUGGACUUAUGGGAAACUGGAAAUCUCAGAAGGUAAAGUUUGAUGUUUCUACAUAGACCAGCUGAUGUACAUUUUACA